UACAGAGGUCUCAAGCGUUGUUCGGAUUCAUUGGGCGUAAAGGGUGCGUAGGCGGCGCGGUAAGUCGGGUGUGAAAUCUCGGAGCUUAACUCCGAAACUGCAUUCGAUACUGCCGUGCUUGAGGACUGGAGAGGAGACUGGAAUUUACGGUGUAGCGGUGAAAUGCGUAGAUAUCGUAAGGAAGACCAGUGGCGAAGGCGGGUCUCGUGGACAGUUCCUGACGCUGAGGCACGAAGGCCCAGGGGGAGCAAACGGGG
rnacentral:rRNA from 1 species